AGGAGCCGUAUGAGGUGAAAAUCUUACGUACGGUUCUGUAAUAAUGAUGGACACAUGACGUUAUCAUUGACUAUGAU
rnacentral:ncRNA from 1 species